UGUUCUAUAACAACUCCUAUCAGGCCUGAUAAACUCACUACACCUAACACAAUGCUUUCAUUAGUAUUUAUCCAUAAAGAAUGUCAUGCGAGAUCUUAAAUGAAAUCCAGGAUCACACUGGUGAUUUAUAUCAUUGUAAAAUGUAUGUACUAACACUUUGUAAGGAGUUAUGUCUACAUGCUGGAAAACAUGUUUUUAAAGUCUGAAGCAAGGCACAGCUGAUGAAAAAGUUUCUGCCAAAGGACGUAUAUUCCCAUCUACCUCGGUUCACACGUAAAUUGAACAUUGUAACCCAACAUAACGGUCAUCCUGACUCUUGACAAACAAUGAAUUUUAGGGGAUAAAAGGGAAAGUAAGGAGACACCCCUUUAUCCUUCACCAAGGAAGCAUAAGGACAGCACUUUUGGAUGCACAAAAGGAUGGAUCCCAGCUGCGCUGGUUGGAGAUGCUGGGAGAUUGCUUUAGAGCAAAGACAGACCCUAAAUCUUCAUGGAGCAAGCUAUCUCAUGUGUGUGGUCCGUUCCUGACACCUGCUUUCCUUCCCUGAAGAGUGAGCUCUACCAGCAAUGAAAAUUAUCAGUUUGGAUGGGGAUGCAUCACCAUGAAGAAUUUCAGUGUAACCUAGCCCACUUUGAGUUAUACUGGGAGGAUAAAACCCAGUGAAACUCAAAUUAAAUGCAGACAUUAAAUGCAGAUAGUAACAUGAAAAAACUGAGGAUUUGUCCCAGCCAUUCAACUGUCAGUAUUGUUUCACUCUAAUAGAACUGAGAGUAGGAUCUGGUCCACAAAAUAUACUUUAACAUAUCAUCAUCUACAUUUUCCAUAGGCUUCAUUAGUUGGUGUAUGACAUAACUAUUUCAUCCUGUGCGGUACAUAUAUGCUUUUCCAAUGUGCCCAUCACCAUGCUAUUUUGGAGCAAUAGACAUAUCAAGCAACAGUUGAAUAAAAUAAUAUCUAUUUAUCUGAACGCCGUAUUGAAAUAGAUUCUAGGUUAAUGCAGUAUCAUUUCAUCUUUAGAAUCCAAGGUUCAAAGCAUGUUUAAGUCAUGUGUGAAAGAUGAGUGGGUUUAGUCUCGUCCUUUUUAGUAUUUUGUCCUCAUUGCAACAUUAACAUGUUGAUUCGCAGAGUUAACUCAAAGCAGCCCAGGUUUUGAAUAGUAGCAGGAGGAGUUGCAGGUAAGGUUAAAGUAAGAGCUGGUCAAAAAAAGUCCAUCAGAGAAACCCUUUUCAUCAAAAUCAAAACUUACCACACGGUCAUACUGAUUUCAAAGAAGUUUCCUUCAAGAUUCCCCUCCCC